CAAGGAAGAACAGAAAAUAGUAAGCACUGCUAAUCCUUACGUUCCAUGGUUAAAAUCCGUGGCUUCCUUGC
rnacentral:tRNA from 1 species